UCGGCGUCCUUAAAUGGGCGAGAGAGGCGAUUCCAAUAGAACUCUAUUAGGGUUUUGGCAGGCCUCCUGCUCCGCCGUCGGCCUCUCGCCACCCUUUCUCUCCAUUAGAUGAUAUCCAGAGAUUACAAGUGGAGAUGGAGCUACAUAAUUGAAUAAUUCCUCAUCAACUUUAAACCAGCCAACUGUGGGCACUCUUGGAAACUACCAAGAGACUGUUUAAGCAAUGGGCUUGAGCCUGGUAUGCCUGAGGGAUUGCUUUGCAGUUCACCCAAAGCUCUAUUCAUUUUAUCGGAUAUGUUGUUCAAAAUAAUUAUGCUAAUUUGCUUUUUCAAAGAUUUAUCGAUGUUGUUUGUAUCAGUUCCUCGUGACUGUAAAUUUAUGGAGUUGAAUCAGUAUCUGAACAUAUUUUUGGUUGCGGC